CCAGACUCCUACGGGAGGCAGCAGUGGGGGAUAUUGCACAAUGGGGGAAACCCUGAUGCAGCGACGCCGCGUGAGUGAAGAAGUAUUUCGGUAUGUAAAGCUCUAUCAGCAGGGACGAAAAUGACGGUACCUGAGUAAGAAGCCCCGGCUAACUACGUGCCAGCAGCCGCGGUAAUACGUAGGGGGCAAGCGUUAUCCGGAUUUACUGGGUGUAAAGGGAGCGUAGACGGUUAUGCAAGUCUGGAGUGAAAGGCGGGGGCUCAACCCCCGGAACUGCUCUGGAAACUGUGCGGCUAGAGUACUGGAGGGGCAGGCGGAAUUCCUAGUGUAGCGGUGAAAUGCGUAGAUAUUAGGAGGAACACCAGUGGCGAAGGCGGCCUGCUGGACAGUAACUGACGUUGAGGCUCGAAAGCGUGGGGAGCAAACAGGAUUAGAUACCCGGGUAC
rnacentral:rRNA from 1 species